GUUUACCCAAUAGAUUUCAAGGUGUAGGAAGGCGGUGAGCGAGAGCAACCAACACACCUACAGCUUGAAAGAUGAAGGGUUGUUGCCGUGGAAACUUUUGGCCCAUCUCCGGAUGGGCUUUUUU
rnacentral:ncRNA from 1 species